CCUACGGGUGGCAGCAGUGGGGAAUAUUGCACAAUGGGGGCAACCCUGAUGCAGCGACGCCGCGUGAGUGAAGAAGUAUUUCGGUGUGUUAAGCUCUGUCAGCAGGGAAGAAAAUGACGGUACCUGACCAAGAUGCCCCGGCUAACUACGUGCCAGCAGCCGCGGUAAUACGUAGGGGGCAAGCGUUAUCCGGAUUUACUGGGUGUAAAGGGAGCGUAGACGGCAGGGCAAGUCUGGAGUGAAAGGCGGGGGCUCAACCCCCGGACUGCAAUGGAAACUGGCAGGCUGGAGUGCAGGAGAGGUAGGUGGAAUUCCUAGUGUAGCGGUGAAAUGCGUAGAUAUUAGGAGGAACACCAGUGGCGAAGGCAGCUUACUGAACUGUAACUGACGUGGAUGCUCGAAAGCGUGGGGAGCAAACAGGAUUAGAUACCCCUGUAGUC
rnacentral:rRNA from 1 species